rnacentral:tmRNA from 1 species
GGGGGCGACCUGGUUUCGACGUGGGUUACAAAGCCAAAGGCGCAUGUCGAGAACGCAAUUUCACUCGUAAAAAUGAGUUGCAAAACUAUAGUUGCCAAUAACGACAACUUCAAAGUAGCCGUCGCCGCUUAAUAGCGGUGAUCUACCCAUUGCCAGAGCUUGCUAGUGGGCGCUGUCACAAUGGUCAUAGCACACCAGCUCGUAGCCUAACUUGCUCAGCGUUAGCUACUAAAACUAAUGAGCUCGCUGCUUAGAUAUCCUGCUAACCGGAGCUUUAAGCGGCUAAAAUAGAUGAUUAGCUAAACAUGUAGUGCUAAUGGUAGAGGGCUUGCGGACGCGGGUUCGAUUCCCGCCGCCUCCACCA